GACGAACGCUGGCGGCGUGCUUAACACAUGCAAGUCGAACGGAAAGGCCCUGCUUUUGUGGGGUGCUCGAGUGGCGAACGGGUGAGUAACACGUGAGUAACCUGCCCUUGACUUUGGGAUAACUUCAGGAAACUGGGGCUAAUACCGGAUAGGAGCUCCUGCUGCAUGGUGGGGGUUGGAAAGUUUCGGCGGUUGGGGAUGGACUCGCGGCUUAUCAGCUUGUUGGUGGGGUAGUGGCUUACCAAGGCUUUGACGGGUAGCCGGCCUGAGAGGGUGACCGGCCACAUUGGGACGGAGAUACGGCCCAGACUCCUACGGGAGGCAGAAGUGGGGAAUAUGGAACAAGGGGCGGAAGCCUGAUGCAGCAACGCCGCGUGCGGGAUGACGGCCUUCGGGUUGUAAACCGCUUUGGCCGGGGACGAAGCGUGAGUGACGGGAAUGGGUAAAGAAGCACGGGCUAACUAGGUG
rnacentral:rRNA from 1 species